rnacentral:rRNA from 1 species
CAGUGGGGAAUUUUGGACAAUGGGCGCAAGCCUGAUCCAGCCAUGCCGCGUGAGUGAAGAUGGCCUUCGGGUUGUAAAGCUCUUUCAGCCGGAAAGAAAACGUACAGGUUAAUAACCUGUGUGGAUGACGGUACCGGAAGAAGAAGCACCGGCUAACUACGUGCCAGCAGCCGCGGUAAUACGUAGGGUGCGAGCGUUAAUCGGAAUUACUGGGCGUAAAGCGUGCGCAGGCGGUUUUGUAAGACAGAUGUGAAAUCCCCGGGCUUAACCUGGGAACUGCAUUUGUGACUGCAAGGCUAGAGUACGGCAGAGGGGGGUAGAAUUCCACGUGUAGCAGUGAAAUGCGUAGAUAUGUGGAGGAAUACCGAUGGCGAAGGCAGCCCCCUGGGUCGAUACUGACGCUCAUGCACGAAAGCGUGGGGAGCAAACAGGAUUAGAUACCCUGGUAGUCCACGCCCUAAACGAUGUCAACUAGGUGUUGG